CGAAAUUUUGGGAAUAAUUUACAAAUUAGACCUGCUUGUUUUGUUGAUGAUAAAAAUGGUUUACUGAAAGGCGAUGUGGGAGCAACCUAUGGGGUCAUAGACUAUACAAACAUAUUCCAAAUAGAUCUAUGGAAGAAUAUUCCUAAAUCAUUUUUUGUGGUGGUUCAUGAUGAAAAAAGUUGUGAAGAUCAAUCUCCACGGGACACUUUUGAACUACUUCGUUCUCCAGAUAAAUUCUGUACAACGUCUCAAUCGAAAAGAAUGUGUGGAAUUGAUGGAAGUGGGUUUUAUAAAAGAGUUGGCGAUAAAUACUAUUUAGGAGGUGUUCUAGUUACUGCACAAAUAAAUCCCACUAAACCAAUAUGUGAUGGUGGAGUACCUACGUUUUUCACAAAUAUUUCACCAUACUUCAGUUGGAUAAAAGGCAUUAUAAGUAAUUAAUAGAAUUCAUGAAAAAUAUUACAUAAAAGUUUUAUUUGUUAAAAUUAGUUGCGUUUUGAAAUAAGAGAUGUCGCUAAUAAAUACUUCAAAUUUCAAA